rnacentral:tRNA from 1 species
UUUUUUGUGGUGUAAGAACACGUUAACUUUUCGCGUUGAAGAUGAAUAAUUAUUCCAGGACUU